UACAGAGGUCCCAAGCGUUGUUCGGAUUCAUUGGGCGUAAAGGGUGCGUAGGCGGCGCGGUAAGUCGGGUGUGAAAUCUCGGGGCUUAACUCCGAAACUGCAUUCGAUACUGCCGUGCUUGAGGACUGGAGAGGAGACUGGAAUUUACGGUGUAGCGGUGAAAUGCGUAGAUAUCGUAAGGAAGACCAGUGGCGAAGGCGGGUCUCUGGGCAGUAACUGACGCUGAGGAGCGAAAGCGUGGGGGAGCGAACAGG
rnacentral:rRNA from 1 species